UUGAGCGCUGGCGGCAGGCCUAACACAUGCAAGUCGCGCGGAUGAAGGGAGCUUGCUCCUGGAUUCAGCGGCGGACGGGUGAGUAAUGCCUAGGAAUCUGCCUGGUAGUGGGGGAUAACGUCCGGAAACGGGCGCUAAUACCGCAUACGUCCUGAGGGAGAAAGUGGGGGAUCUUCGGACCUCACGCUAUCAGAUGAGCCUAGGUCGGAUUAGCUAGUUGGUGGGGUAAAGGCCUACCAAGGCGACGAUCCGUAACUGGUCUGAGAGGAUGAUCAGUCACACUGGAACUGAGACACGGUCCAGACUCCUACGGGAGGCAGCAGUGGGGAAUAUUGGACAAUGGGCGAAAGCCUGAUCCAGCCAUGCCGCGUGUGUGAAGAAGGUCUUCGGAUUGUAAAGCACUUUAAGUUGGGAGGAAGGGCAGUAAGUUAAUACCUUGCUGUUUUGACGUUACCAACAGAAUAAGCACCGGCUAACUUCGUG
rnacentral:rRNA from 1 species